GUCGAACGGACUCAUAUUGAAACCUAGUGAUUUAUGAGUUAGUGGCGGACGGGUGAGUAACGCGUGGAUAACCUGCCGUAUACCGGGGGAUAACACUUGGAAAUAGGUGCUAAUACCGCAUAAGCGCACGGCUCCGCAUGGGGCAGUGUGAAAAACUCCGGUGGUAUACGAUGGAUCCGCGUCUGAUUAGCUAGUUGGCGGGGUAACGGCCCACCAAGGCAGCGAUCAGUAGCCGGCCUGAGAGGGUGGACGGCCACAUUGGGACUGAGACACGGCCCAAACUCCUACGGGAGGCAGCAGUGGGGAAUAUUGCACAAUGGGGGAAACCCUGAUGCAGCGACGCCGCGUGAGUGAAGAAGUAUCUCGGUACGUAAAGCUCUAUCAGCAGGGAAGAAAAUGACGGUACCUGACUAAGAAGCCCCGGCUAACUACGUGCCAGCAGCCGCGGUAAUACGUAGGGGGCAAGCGUUAUCCGGAUUUACUGGGUGUAAAGGGAGCGUAGACGGCAGCACAAGUCUGGAGUGAAAUCCCGGGGCUUAACCCCGGAACUGCUUUGGAAACUGUGCGGCUGGAGUGCAGGAGGGGUAAGCGGAAUUCCUAGUGUAGCGGUGAAAUGCGUAGAUAUUAGGAGGAACACCGGUGGCGAAGGCGGCUUACUGGACUGUAACUGACGUUGAGGCUCGAAAGCGUGGGGAGCAAACAGGAUUAGAUACCCUGGUAGUCCACGCCGUAAACGAUGAUUACUAGGUGUCGGGGGAUCAAGGUCCUCCGGUGCCGGCGCANACGCAUUAAGUAAUCCACCUGGGGAGNACGUUC
rnacentral:rRNA from 1 species